rnacentral:rRNA from 1 species
UACGGAGGGUGCGAGCGUUGUCCGGAAUCACUGGGCGUAAAGGGCUCGUAGGCGGCCAACUAAGUCGGAUGUGAAAUCCCCAGGCUUAACUUGGGAACUGCAUCCGAUACUGGAUGGCUUGAAUCCGGGAGAGGGAUGCGGAAUUCUCGGUGUAGAGGUGAAAUUCGUAGAUAUCGAGAGGAACACCGGUGGCGAAGGCGGCCUUCUGGACAGUGACUGACGCUGAGACGCGAAAGCGUGGGGAGCAAACAGG